rnacentral:rRNA from 1 species
AUUCUGUGAGCAGGAAAGCAGGGGAUCGCAAGACCUUGCGCUGAUUGAGCGGCCGAUAUCAGAUUAGCUAGUUGGUGAGGUAAAGGCUCACCAAGGCGACGAUCUGUAGCGGGUCUGAGAGGAUGAUCCGCCACACUGGAACUGAGACACGGCCCAGACUCCUACGGGAGGCAGCAGUGGGGAAUUUUGGACAAUGGGCGCAAGCCUGAUCCAGCAAUGCCGCGUGCAGGACGAAGGCCUUCGGUUGUAACUGCUUUGUACGGAACGAAAGACCUUCUUCUAAUACAGGGGGUCGAUGACGGUACCGUAAGAAUAAGCACCGGCUAACUACGUG